AGCCCGUCCCGUAUUAACGUUUUUAUAAGUGUGAAGUUUGUUUAAUUAUCCUAGUUUUUAAGAGUGGACGUUUUGUCUGUGUGUUUGUUUGAAAAUGACUUAUGGACUAUACACUCAGACACACUCAUUAUUCAUUAUUCCUUCCCGUGAUUCCCUCAAACACUCACACUCUCUCUCUCCCGUCAAGCUCUCUCUCACUCUCUCUCUCUUUCUACACUCACGGCAAAACAACAAGGAUCUUCAAAUCUUCACAGAUCGAAGAAACAAAGACCACCAUCGUCUUCAUCUCGUCGAUACGAAUUCAUCCAUACCCAUUUCAGGGGUUUUUAAGCUCAUAGGGAGCUUAAGGAGGUUCUUAGGAAGCUCGGAAUGCUUCGUUGGAAGUUUUUGGAAGUAAAACACAGAGAUCGGAAAGUUCAAUGUUUGGUCGGAACUUUCGAGACGUUUUCCGGCCAAACCACGGAGAGUUAGACGUCGUGCGAGUUUCCGGCGAGUCCGAUGGCUUUCGAGGCUUUUUCCGGUGAAUUCCCGGCGAGUUAAGGGUCGAGACAGGUGAAAAUUUUACGGACGAAGAACGUAACCAAAAUAGGCGAGGGGGUUACGAACCGGCUACUUAUCUGUGAGUGGGCAGUUUUGUUUUCCGUAUACAUAUAUACUAUUGAGUCUUCCCAGAAAUUGAAUUUAAAUGAAAGCAUGAUUUAAAAUGCCAUGGAUAGAAUUAUAUGAAAAGUAU